rnacentral:hammerhead_ribozyme from 1 species
CUCCAAGUGACGAGUCUCAAAUAGGACGAAACGCGCAUCCUGGAU